AUCUGGCGCGCAGAGGGAGCAGAGCUCGUGCAGAAAUGCCUGUGUUUUCUCCAGUUCUGACUCGUCGAGAGUUCCUUCUUCUUCUCCUGAUAACUCUUGUUUUAUUGCCCCGUUUGCGGUGUGCUGGAUCGCGCAAGCAGCCACCUGGUAUUGAAAUAUUAGUUUCCGGACAGUCCAACACUGUAACCCAGAAAGUUCUCACAACAGAUGGCAAAGACUGCAAGUUUCCUUUUCGCUUUGGCGGGUUGAUUUAUCACCAGUGUAUCUCUAUGAACACUCACAAGGCCUGGUGCUCUCUCACACAUAACUUCGACCGCGACCAGAAGUGGGGAUUCUGCAGUUCACAAGCACGACUCUUUA